rnacentral:rRNA from 1 species
UUAGAUAAAAAGCCAAUGCAUGCUUUUACAGUAUGAAAAUUGGUGAUUUAUAAUAACUUAGCAAAUCGCAAAGUGAAAACAGGCGAUAAAUCAUUCAAGUUUCUGACCUAUCAGCUUUCACGGUAUGGUAUUGGCUUACCGUGGCAGUGACGGUUAACGGGGGAUUAGGGUUCGAUUCCGGAGAGGGAGCCUGAGAAACGGCUACCACAUCUAAGGAAGGCAGCAGGCGCGCAAAUUACCCAAUUCUAACAGUUUGAGAGAGGUAGUAACAAGAAAUAACAAUACAAGGCAGUUAAAAUGCUUUGUAAUUGGAAUGAUAGAAAUUUAAACCCUUUUUAAAGUAUCAAUUGGAGGGCAAGUCUGGUGCCAGCAGCCGCGGUAAUUCCAGCUCCAAUAGCGUAUAUUAAAAUUGUUGCAGUUAAAAAGCUCGUAGUUGAAGUUCUGCUAAAAGUAACCGGUCUGCUUUUAAUAAAGGUGGUAUCUUGGUGUGUAUUUAGCAAUGAUGUCCUUUGAAGUGUUUUUUACUUUAUUGUAAUAAAGCAUAUUCAGGACUUUUACUUUGAGAAAA